UACGGAGGGAGCUAGCGUUGUUCGGAAUUACUGGGCGUAAAGCGUGCGUAGGCGGUUUGUUAAGUCUGUCGUGAAAGCCCCGGGCUCAACCUGGGAAUGGCGAUGGAAACUGGCGAGCUAGAGUACGGUAGAGGAGAGUGGAAUUCCCGGUGUAGCAGUGAAAUGCGUAGAGAUCGGGAGGAACAUCAGUGGCGAAGGCGAGUCCCUGGACAAUUCCUGACACUGAGGCACGAAAGCUAGGGGAGCAAACAGG
rnacentral:rRNA from 1 species